GACGUAGGGGGCCAGCGUUGUUCGGAAUUACUGGGUGUAAAGGGUUCGUAGGCGGUGCGGCAAGUUGGGAGUGAAAUCUCUGGGCUUAACCCAGAGGCUGCUUCCAAAACUGCUGUGCUCGAGUGUGAGAGAGGCUCGUGGAAUUGCAGGUGUAGCGGUGAAAUGCGUAGAUAUCUGCAGGAACACCCGUGGCGAAAGCGGCGAGCUGGAUCACUACUGACGCUGAGGAACGAAAGCUAGGGGAGCAAACAGG
rnacentral:rRNA from 2 species